UACGAAGGGGGCUAGCGUUGCUCGGAAUCACUGGGCGUAAAGCGCACGUAGGCGGACUCUUAAGUCGGUGGUGAAAUCCUGGAGCUCAACUCCAGAACUGCCUUUGAUACUGAGGAUCUUGAGUUCGGGAGAGGUGAGUGGAACUGCGAGUGUAGAGGUGAAAUUCGUAGAUAUUCGCAAGAACACCGGUGGCGAAGGCGGCUCUCUGGACCGUAACUGACGCUGAGGCGCGAAAGCGUGGGGAGCAAACAGG
rnacentral:rRNA from 1 species